rnacentral:ncRNA from 2 species
UUGGCACAAUCUGGAGAGUACAAUUGUACACCGAAGGGAAGAAAAUUACCGCAGCGAUGCUAAAGUGAUUGAAAAUCUCAGGUCAAAGGACAGAUGGGGACUG